rnacentral:rRNA from 1 species
UACGGAGGGUGCAAGCGUUGUUCGGAAUUACUGGGCGUAAAGCGCGCGCAGGCGGGCCAGUAAGUCGAUUGUGAAAGCCCAGGGCUUAACCUUGGAAUUGCAGUCGAAACUACUAGUCUUGAAUACCUGAGAGGGUGGGAGAAUUCCUGGUGUAGAAGUGAAAUUCGUAGAUAUCAGGAGGAAUACCGGAGGCGAAGGCG